rnacentral:rRNA from 1 species
UACGGAGGGUGCAAACGUUGCUCGGAAUCAUUGGGCGUAAAGCGCACGUAGGCGGCCUGAUAAGUCGGGUGUGAAAGCCCUGGGCUCAACCCAGGAAGUGCACUCGAAACUGUCAGGCUUGAAUAUGGAAGAGGGUCGCGGAAUUCCCAGUGUAGAGGUGAAAUUCGUAGAUAUUGGGAAGAACACCGGUGGCGAAGGCGGCGAGCUGGUCCAUUACUGACGCUGAGGCGCGACAGCGUGGGGAGCAAACAGG